GUCUUGCUGUGAGUAUUGCAUGCAGCUCUCUCUCAGCAUUUAGCUUCCAGCAGCAAAAAGUGGACAAGUACAUUUCUCUAAAUCUGCUGCCCUGUUGCAGGCUCAAUCAGGCAAAAAUCUUGAUUCCCUUCUUGCGGCAAUGAAACAAAAAACCUUACUGCAAAAAAGACCCCAGAUACAGACUCAAAAAUUCAUUACCCACUGGAGGCUGUACACUUUUCCUUCUCAGCCAGUUUUAUACCCCAUGGCAGUCAGAUAUGUGAGCUCCUUUUUUGAAUUACCUUCAGUGGGUGAGCACUCUGUAGGUGCAGGGGGAGAGCUCUUUCAGCCCUCAAGGCACUGGGAAGAGCUUGGAUCUGGCCAUGAAGGCACCCAGGCCAGGGCACGCCUGAGGGAGUCGGGGUGUGUGGAGCAGGGUCAGACUCCCAGGCCAUGCUCCUCUCCUCCAGCAGCUGUGUGCAGAAACGCAGAUGGAAAUGUUUUCCAAGCAGGCACUUUGCAAACCCUCACCCAGGGGGCAGGCAGCACAAAUCCUCAAACAAACAGCUACCAGCUGAGGAAAAGUGAGCAGCGUGGCUGUUGUCAUAGCUUUGGGCCCACCACCACCGCUGUGCCUGGCACCUCGGCCUCCCUUCCACCUCUAAUCCCUCACUGCUAUCGGCCUCCGCGCAAGGAUAGCCUUGGCUGGGCUGCGCUUUUUUAAUCUUUUCGGGCUGCCAAAACCCAAGCUGUCAAAUACAAGUUAACAGACCGAAAACACAGAUGUCCACUCUUGCCUGAGUUUCCCAUGCAGACUGGACGUGCUCAGAGCAGCUUUUGAGGUCAAAGCUCUGCUCCCUUCCGCCAGGCCUGGCUCCUCAGCACUCAGGCACUCAUUGCCGGUGGCGUCCCCCGCGCCCGUCUGUGAGCACCGCUGUUCACACGUGUUGGUUUGAGAAAGCACUGCCUUGGACAUACAAUUUACUGGGGACAAAAGCAAGGACUUCAUGACACAUACACUUUGUAUGAUACAGUGCACUGAGGAUCAAAGAUUUCUGAGCUACAGUGCUGGAGAGUGGCCUGAGGCAGGGGGAUUCAAAGGGUGCAGGAAGUUUGUGUAAAUGCCCUUCUUACUCACCUGGAAACAGAGAUGUUCUGCUUGCUCACAGGCCUGAGGAGACUUGACCGGCACAAAAACGAAACAUAUUGUAUUAUUUGUGUGUUGCCCACGAAGAAUACAGCAUUGGGGGACUCUAGGAUUUGCCAAGAGCCUUUAUUUGGCAGCCAAGGCUGGGUAUCUUCUUCAUCAGCACCUUCUUCAUCAGCAGGCCUUGGAUCUUUUCCAGAAGGCAAUUAUACCUGGGCUGAGAUCACCACUCAGCUUCCAUGUCACUGAAACCUCACUUUCUCUCCUGACACUGCCAAUAAAACCACAUACUCAACAAGCAGAUCAGGCAAGAAAUCAAUGAUACUCUUCCCUGGUGUCUCAUGGAAGAGCAGGAAAUUGCAGCAGCUGUGGGAAUGGUAGCUGAAGAAGAUGAGGUGGGUUCUGUGACAAUGUGAAGUGCUGGAGGAUAUUGUCACUGCGUGAUCUCUGCUCCAACCAGUUGAUGAGUUUCAACCACCACACUGCAUUUUUUCAUCUCUUGAAACAGCAUCAAAGAUUGGAUUGAUUGUAGCACAGAAAGUUCCUGCUUAAGGUUAUCCAACAGGAAAGUGCUGGAUGUACAGGAAGUGGAAGGACUUGUCAACUCUUCAGAGACACUUUCUUUGUGAAGGUGAACUCUUUACCGGAGUAUUUGACACACGCAGAGAAGAAGGUGUUAAUCUGUUCACAUCCAAGGCACAGUCUGCAGACUGCGGAUGCCCAAAGAGGUUGAGACCCUAAUUCUGCUGAACUUCACUCAGGGAGAGACUGUCCCGCCACUCGUCGUGAGGCAAAAGCAAGAGGUGGUGUCAUGGCCCAGCCUGGCAGGAGAUACCAGCAUUCAUCUCCUUUGGUGGAGACACCUUUCAUUCUCUCAAAGACUGGUACUUGGCUAUGAAUUAAUGUUCUCCACUGAGAGAGUCUCCUUCUUUUCCUUUUUCGAAAACAAAUGAACAAUUGUCUAAGAUGUUUUCUCUGCAUUCUUCAACCUUUUGUGGACAUUGGAAGCAGCCAUGUGCAUAAUCCAGCUGCAGGCAAACAACCAUUGUGAGUAGGAGUGCCUCCAGCCUUCUGCAGAGCCCUGCAGCUGUGUGGAGCCUCAGCACAAGCACAUCCCCUGGCAGCUGUUCCUGCUGCUUGAGGAGCAGGAAUCUCCACAGGGCUCCACAGGGAUAAACUGGGAGGUCUGUCUCCAUGUGCUCUUACAAGAAAUGAUGAAGCAAUGGGUGACUUCUCCUCAGCCUCCACAGCUCCCAGUUGAUGACUGUGACUCUGUGCUGGCCUGUGGGAGUUGCCAAGGCUGACAGAGCACAGGGCUAAGCAGGCACAGCCUUGACUUCAUCUGCACAGCACAGGCUCUCAGUUGGAUUGUGUCUGGCCUUCAGCAGAAGCUGUGCUGUCUGCUGCUUGUAGCAGGCUCUCACUCCCCAUAUGCCUUUGAACCACCUCCAGCAACAUGUGGGCUGCAGAGGAGAUGGCACUCGUCUGUGAAGCUGCAGUUCAAAAGGCUGAGAGUUGGCACAGCAGAUUUAAAAGCCUGUGAACUCCUGUUCUGGGACAAUGGUGUGUUUUGCUGAGGUACUUCAUGUUCUCUGGCCUUUAUUUACUUGAGGCAGCACAAAAGUUUUAAAGAAGACAAAUGCAAUUCUACAGCUAUGAUAGCAAGGAGAGUUACAUUGUAUCUUCUCAAUUAGCAAUUCAUACAAUCAAGACUCAUUUUUAUAUGUUCUUUAAUGGAGGGAGAAAUCUCGGAUGCCGUGUAUUUUCCCGAGGGAAAUUUCCACUAGUGCCUUUGCCAGAAAAAUUCAAAUGGUAGAAACUUCAUGUCGUUGUUAUACAAUUCUUCCUGUCUCUAAAGGUACUGCUUCAUACUAAGAGAAACCAAUAGAAAAACCACAUUGCUUAUAUUAUCUGCAUAAGAAAACAUGUCCACGUGCACAUGUUUGAAAAGAGUGUGAAAUGUAUAUGCAUGUGUGUGUGUCCCUCUCUACAACAAGAUUCAUACCAUUAAAAUCAGCACAUUUGCUUCAGGCAUGAAUUAUUUUCAUUCAGUCACUGGUGGAUUUGAAAUGUUUUCAAAUAUCCCGUGAAAACAAGUGGGAACAUCUGCAAAGCCGACAGACUGUGGUGUGUGUGGGACUGGGUGAGUUCAGAGGAAGGAAACCAGCCAUUGAUCAGGUCACCAUCAGGUGUCAUCUCCAUGGCUGGAAAUGCUGGCAAGGAGGGAAGCUGGACACGGGAAGGAACUGAGCAGCAAACAAGCCAUGCGUGAAGGCCUGGAAUAAAAAGUGCAAAAACAAUGAAGCUUAGGUAAUGAGAGAACUCCUGCCAUGUAGGAAGAGGAACAGGCUGCAACUCAUUCCAGCCCAAUCACUCCAGGACAAGCAUGUAAAUCAUCUGAGUGUGCACACAAGAUGCUAUUUAUAGCUGUUAGCUGAAGUACUUCUUAUUUAUUGUUGUGUUUUUGCAGAAGGAACAGGAAAGAUGCUUCUCCAAGUCUCAAGUGUUUCCUGCAAAUUUUAUAUAUGUGCUUUAGCCCAGCUUUAUUUAUGUUCAUUCUUUGUUUUAAAAAGCAUAUGGAUUAAUGGUGCAUUGCUGAUAAAUAUUUAUCAGCAGUGGUCCCCUCCCAGGAAUUCCUGCAAGGGUGGUUUGGGGACCCCUGGGCUGAUGAGUUUGUGCAUCUCCUGCCAGGUCUUCCAUUAUCUCCUCCCUGAAGGGCACAAAAGGCUGAAAUAUGAAACGCCCCAGGCUCAUCUUUACAAGAUAAAUAAAUAAGUAGCAGGCAGAGGGCUCGGUGGGCUCUGG